UACGUAGGGGGCUAGCGUUGUCCGGAAUCAUUGGGCGUAAAGCGCGUGUAGGCGGUCCGGUAAGUCCGCUGUGAAAGUCGGGGGCUCAACCCUCGAAUGCCGGUGGAUACUGUCGGGCUAGAGUCCGGAAGGGGCGAGUGGAAUUCCUGGUGUAGCGGUGAAAUGCGCAGAUAUCGGGAGGAACACCUAUGGCGAAGGCAGCUCGCUGGGACGUUACUGACGCUGAGACGCGAAAGCGUGGGGAGCAAACAGG
rnacentral:rRNA from 1 species